UACGAAGGGGGCUAGCGUUGCUCGGAAUUACUGGGCGUAAAGGGUGCGUAGGCGGCUCUUUAAGUUAGGGGUGAAAUCCUGGAGCUCAACUCCAGAACUGCCUUUGAUACUGAAGAUCUUGAGUUCGGGAGAGGUGAGUGGAACUGCGAGUGUAGAGGUGAAAUUCGUAGAUAUUCGCAAGAACACCAGUGGCGAAGGCGGCUCACUGGCCCGAUACUGACGCUGAGGCGCGAAAGCGUGGGGAGCAAACAGG
rnacentral:rRNA from 1 species